GUCCAGUGGUUGCACGAGUAUUUUAUUUCCACUCCAUCUUAGUCCGCCGCCGUUCCUAGCCGCCGCCGGUGAACUCGACCGGAACCACCCUGCCAUGCGCACAACCCUUCACGCCCCUGUUUCUCUGCGGCUGGCCUUCGUGGAUCCUACCAGUCUACCGCCCACCACGGCGACCUUAUCCCCAGUCCACCACAGGCGCACACCCCUCGCCUCCCCCUUCUCCUCCAGCAAUGGCCGCACCCGCCGUCCGGGGGGUAUUUAGUCUGCGGUUGUCAGCUCGUCUGCGUGCUCCAGCAAUGGGGCAAUAGUUGCAUUUUUAAAUGACAGCAGAUAGAAGACACUGAAGACAAGUAUUGCCUGUGACAUUGCAAUGUAAUGACCGCCUGGAGUAUGGACUGAUGGUCGAUGGCAGAACAUGUGUUUUCUCGCAACCGUGCAAAUGCUACAAUAUCCAAAAUAUUGUGGUUUCUUUGUAUCCAGCGUGGCACGGCGCUUGCCGGUUAAAGAAGGCACUGCGAGUCACCAAAUCGUCCGGGGCUCCUUGGCGUCGAGCGGAGCAAGCAGCAGGAGGUAGAGCAGCCGCUGCAGAUGCUGCUACGAUUGCUGGUGUUUAUUAUUAUUCUUGGGAUGAAGCAGCUGUUUGUGCGCUAGAAUUUGGAUGGAUACGCAGCAAAGCAUAAGCAGGCUAUGAGAUUAUAAGGAGGAAAUGUGUGGUGGGCCCCAGCAAAAAGAAGAAAUGUGUAGAGGAGAAAAACCAACUUCUCUUCAAUUGGACAACUAGUUACAGCGUUUGUUUUCUAAAAUUGAAGACUAGUGGAUUUAAUGUGAUUUUUCGUCAAGCUGUAAAUUUGUAUUUAUAUUUUGUUUGA